rnacentral:rRNA from 1 species
CCAAUAGCGUAUAUUAAAGUUGUUGCAGUUAAAAAGCUCGUAGUUGAACUUCGGGGUUUACCCAUUGGUCAGGCUUAAUUGUCUGUACUGGUGAGACAAAUCUCUACCUUCUGAGGAACUUUCAUGCCAUUUAUUUGGUGUGAUGGGAAAUCAGGACUGUUACUUUGAAAAAAUUAGAGUGUUUAAAGCAGGCUAACGUCUGAAUACAUUAGCAUGGAAUAAUGAAAUAGGACGGAUUGAUUCUAUUUCGUUGGUUUCUAGGAUCACCGUAAUGAUUAAUAGGGAUAGUUGGGGGCAUUAGUAUUCAAUUGUCAGAGGUGAAAUUCUUGGAUUUAUUGAAGACUAACUACUGCGAAAGCAUUUGCCAAGGAUGUUUUCAUUAAUCAAGAACGAAAGUUAGGGGAUCGAAGACGAUCAGAUACCGUCGUAGUCUUAACCAUAAACUAUGCCGACUAGGGAUCGGACGAAGUUAAUUUUAUAAUGACGCGUUCGGCACCUUACG